AUUGAACGCUGGCGGCAUGCUUUACACAUGCAAGUCGAACGGUAACAGCACUUCGGUGGCUGACGAGUGGCGAACGGGUGAGUAAUACAUCGGAACGUGCCUAGUAGUGGGGGAUAACUACUCGAAAGAGUAGCUAAUACCGCAUGAGAUCUAAGGAUGAAAGCAGGGGACCUUCGGGCCUUGCGCUACUAGAGCGGCUGAUGGCAGAUUAGGUAGUUGGUGGGAUAAAAGCUUACCAAGCCGACGAUCUGUAGCUGGUCUGAGAGGACGACCAGCCACACUGGGACUGAGACACGGCCCAGACUCCUACGGGAGGCAGCAGUGGGGAAUUUUGGACAAUGGACGCAAGCCUGAUCCAGCAAUGCCGCGUGCAGGAUGAAGGCCUUCGGGUUGUAAACUGCUUUUGUACGGAACGAAAAGCCCUCUUCUAAUACAGGAGGGUCAUGACGGUACCGUAAGAAUAAGCACCGGCUAACUACGUG
rnacentral:rRNA from 1 species